UACGGGAGGCAGCAGUGGGGAAUAUUGCACAAUGGGCGAAAGCCUGAUGCAGCUAUGCCGCGUGUAUGAAGAAGGCCUUAGGGUUGUAAAGUACUUUCAUCGGGGAGGAAAAAACAAAACUAAUAAUUUUAUUUCUUGACGUUACCCGAAAAAGAAGCACCGGCUAACUCCGUGCCAGCAGCCGCGGUAAUACGGAGGGUGCUAGCGUUAAUCAGAAUUACUGGGCGUAAAGAGCACGUAGGUGGUUUUUUUAAGUCAGAUGUGAAAUCCCUGGGCUUAACCUGGAACUGCAUUUUGAAACUGAAAUACUAGAGUAUCGUAGAGGGAGGUAGAAUUCUAGGUGUAGCGGUGAAAUGCGUAGAUAUCUGGAGGAAUACCUGUGGCGAAAGCGGCCUCCGUAAACGAUACUGACACUGAGGUGCGAAAGCUGGGGAGCAAACAGGGAUUUAGGAUA
rnacentral:rRNA from 1 species